GGGCGGGGCGGGGCGGGGCGGGGAAGCCCCUCAGGGCUGCGGGGCCCAGGCCUGGCCGGGCCGGGCUCGUCGGGCCACGCCGUUCGCGGUGGGCGAGGCCGGAGCAGGGCGAAGCUUCCCUGUGCAGAUGGGCGUGCUCUAUGGAUGAGCCUCGGUCCUGAAGGAUGGCCAGCAGUCCCAGGAAUAACACUUCCCUCUCUGCUCAGAAAGCCACACAAUCGGAAAAUUCCCAAGGGAAGAAGCCCCAGCACACAGAAGAAGCAAACUUCUACAUGAACUGCAGAGCAGCUUACCUGACUGUUCUGAAAAGCAGCUUAGAAAAUAUCAAAUCAAGAGAGCAGCUCAGCCUAGGUAAUGGUUUGAUCCUUUUC